rnacentral:rRNA from 1 species
AGAGUUUGAUCCUGGCUCAGGAUGAACGCUGGCGGCGGGCCUAAUACAUGCAAGUCGAGCGGAUUAAAGGAAGCUUGCUUCCUUUAAUUAGCGGCGGACGGGUGAGUAACACGUGGGCAACCUGCCUGUAAGACUGGGAUAACUUCGGGAAACCGGUGCUAAUACCGGAUAAUAUAAAGAACCUCAUGGUUCUCUAUUAAAAGAUGGUUUCGGCUAUCCCUUACAGAUGGGCCCGCGGCGCAUUAGCUAGUUGGUGAGGUAACGGCUCACCAAGGCAACGAUGCGUAGCCGACCUGAGAGGGUGAUCGGCCACACUGGGACUGAGACACGGCCCAGACUCCUACGGGAGGCAGCAGUAGGGAAUCUUCCGCAAUGGACGAAAGUCUGACGGAGCAACGCCGCGUGAACGAUGAAGGCCUUCGGGUCGUAAAGUUCUGUUGUUAAGGAAGAACAAGUACGAGAGUAACUGCUCGUACCUUGACGGUACUUAACCAGAAAGCCACGGCUAACUACGUGCCAGCAGCCGCGGUAAUACGUAGGUGGCAAGCGUUAUCCGGAAUUAUUGGGCGUAAAGCGCUCGCAGGCGGUCUUUUAAGUCUGAUGUGAAAGCCCCCGGCUCAACCGGGGAGGGUCAUUGGAAACUGGGAGACUUGAGUGCAGAAGAGGAGAGUGGAAUUCCACGUGUAGCGGUGAAAUGCGUAGAGAUGUGGAGGAACACCAGUGGCGAAGGCGACUCUCUGGUCUGUAACUGACGCUGAGGAGCGAAAGCGUGGGGAGCGAACAGGAUUAGAUACCCUGGUAGUCCACGCCGUAAACGAUGAGUGCUAAGUGUUAGGGGGUUUCCGCCCCUUAGUGCUGCAGCUAACGCCUUAAGCACUCCGCCUGGGGAGUACGGUCGCAAGACUGAAACUCAAAGGCAUUGACGGGGGCCCGCACAAGCGGUGGCGCAUGUGGUUUAAUUCGAAGCAACGCGAAGAACCUUACCAGGUCUUGACAUCCCUAUGACCGCUCUAGAGAUAGAGUUUUCCCUUUUAGGGACAAAGGUGACAGGUGGUGCAUGGUUGUCGUCAGCUCGUGUCGUGAGAUGUUGGGUUAAGUCCCGCAACGAGCGCAACCCUUGAUCUUAGGUGCCAGCAUUCAGUUGGGCGCUCUAAGGUGACUGCCGGUGACAAACCGGCGGAAGGUGGGGAUGACGUCAAAUCAUCAUGCCCCUUAUGACCUGGGCUACACACGUGCUACAAUGGAUGGUACAAAGGGCAGCAAAACCGCGAGGUUAAGCGAAUCCCAUAAAACCAUUCUCAGUUCGGAUUGCAGGCUGCAACUCGCCUGCAUGAAGCUGGAAUCGCUAGUAAUCGCGGAUCAGCAUGCCGCGGUGAAUACGUUCCCGGGCCUUGUACACACCGCCCGUCACACCACGAGAGUUUGUAACACCCGAAGUCGGUGGGGUAACCUAAGAUGAAACUUGUUUCAUCUAGGAGCCAGCCGCCUAAGGUGGGACAGAUGAUUGGGGUGAAGUCGUAACAAGGUAGCCGUAUCGGCAGGUGCGGCUGG